AGAAGCCUGGAAAAUACAGGGCUCUCCUGAGACAGGGCUGAGCUCACAAUCUAUUUAGGACUUUCUUUUGAACCUCAAAAAAUAUUGAUUUGUUGGAGCUGCCACUUUUCCCAGGAAUUCCUCCAUUUCAAGGAACACUUUUUAGCAAAGGUUUAUUCACACCUGACCAUUUCUGGUCACAAUGUGAGAGAGGAUGACUUGAAAAAUUCAUUUAAUUUUGGUUCAGCAUGGGGAAGAAAUGUUUGAACUGAAGAAAGCCAGCAAUUAUUUCUCCUCGGUGAUCAGAGGUGUCAUCUCCACUCAGACAUGGGCCACACCAGGUUCUGGAGAAUGGGGACAGGCCAGGAGGCAAUUAGGGAACAAAAUGAAACCAUGACAAAGCUUUGUGGCUGGCUAUUGUCUCCUAACAAAGCACAAAACACCGUGGCGUUGUGGGCUUGGCACAUUAAAUUUUCAUGUGCAGCUACUGGAGACAGAUUUAUAAACUAAUUAAGCCUAACAAUCUCCUAAGCACUGCUUGUGUGUGGAGAGGCUCAGAUCAACUGAGUUAUUCCAGAAGAUAAAACCCCAAACUUAUCCAACAGGAACAUUGGAGAACCAGGCCAAAAUUAUUCCGUGUCUGCUGUAAAUUGACCCAAGUGCAAACACCUCGUGCAAGCA